rnacentral:rRNA from 1 species
GACGAACGCUGGCGGCGUGCCUAAUACAUGCAAGUUGAGCGCUGAAGGUUGGUACUUGUACCGACUGGAUGAGCAGCGCACGGGUGAGUAACGCGUGGGGAAUCUGCCUUUGAGCGGGGGACAACAUUUGGAAACGAAUGCUAAUACCGCAUAAAAACUUUAAACACAAGUUUUAAGUUUGAAAGAUGCAAUUGCAUCACUCAAAGAUGAUCCCGCGUUGUAUUAGCUAGUUGGUGAGGUAAAGGCUCACCAAGGCGAUGAUACAUAGCCGACCUGAGAGGGUGAUCGGCCACAUUGGGACUGAGACACGGCCCAAACGCCUACGGGAGGCAGCAGUAGGGAAUCUUCGGCAAGGGACGAAAGUCUGACCGAGCAACGCCGCGUGAGUGAAGAAGGUUUUCGGAUCGUAAAACUCUGUUGGUAGAGAAGAACGUUGGUGAGAGUGGAAAGCUCAUCAAGUGACGGUAACUACCCAGAAAGGGACGGCUAACUACGUG